UAUACGACCGUACCGCAAACCGACACUGGUGCGCGAGAUGAGUAUUCUAAGGCGCUUGAGAGAACUCAGGAGAAGGAACUCGGCAAAUUGACACCGUAACUUCGGAAGAAGGUGUGCCCUAUUAGUGUGUAGUGAACAACGAAGCAUGAAUGGGUUGCAAAAAAUCGGUGGCUGCGACUGUUUAUUAAAAACACAGCACUCUGCAAACACGAAAGUGGACGUAUAGGGUGUGACGCCUGCCCGGUGCUGGAAGAUUAAAUGAUGGGGUGCAAGCUCUUGAUUGAAGUCCCAGUAAACGGCGGCCGUAACAAUAACGGUCCUAAGGUAGCGAAAUUCCUUGUCGGGUAAGUUCCGACCUGCACGAAUGGCGUAACGUUGGCCACACUGUCUCCUCCUGAGACUCAGCGAAGUUGAAAUGUUUGUGAUGAUGCAAUCUCCCCGCGGAAAGACGGAAAGACCCCAUGAACCUUUACUGUAGCUUUGUAUUGGACUUUGAACAGAUCUGUGUAGGAUAGGUGGGAGGCUUUGAAGCAGGGUCGCUAGAUCUUGUGGAGCCAACGUUGAAAUACCACCCUGGUGUGUUUGAGGUUCUAACCUAGGUCCAUUAUCUGGAUCGGGGACAGUGCAUGGUAGGCAGUUUGACUGGGGCGGUCUCCUCCCAAAGCGUAACGGAGGAGUUCGAAGGUACGCUAGUUACGGUCGGACAUCGUGACGAUAGUGCAAUGGCAUAAGCGUGCUUAACUGCGAGACUGACAAGUCGAGCAGAUGCGAAAGCAGGACAUAGUGAUCCGGUGGUUCUGUAUGGAAGGGCCAUCGCUCAACGGAUAAAAGGUACUCUGGGGAUAACAGGCUGAUACCGCCCAAGAGUUCAUAUCGACGGCGGUGUUUGGCACCUCGAUGUCGGCUCAUCUCAUCCUGGGGCUGUAGCCGGUCCCAAGGGUAUGGCUGUUCGCCAUUUAAAGAGGUACGUGAGCUGGGUUUAAAACGUCGUGAGACAGUUUGGUCCCUAUCUUCCGUGGGCGCUGCAGAUUUGAGGAAGCCUGCUCCUAGUACGAGAGGACCGGAGUGGACACACCUCUGGUGUAUCGGUUGUCACGCCAGUGGCAUUGCCGAGUAGCUAAGUGUGGAAGAGAUAACCGCUGAAAGCAUCUAAGCGGGAAACUCGUUUCAAGAUGAGAUCUGCCGGGGCCUUGAGCCCCCUAAAGAGUCGUUCAAGACCAGGACGUUGAUAGGUCAGGUGUGGAAAC
rnacentral:rRNA from 1 species